rnacentral:tRNA from 1 species
GCCUAGUUGGCUCAGUCAGUAGAACAUGUGACUCUUGAUCUCAGAGUUGUGAGUUCAAGCCCCACAUUGGGCU